UAAGUAAUGGUGAAGUAUUUUGUCAGCAGCCCAGUAGUUUAACAUUCCUUUGCUGUGUUCUAGGUAUGCAUGGACAAUUGCCGAAUGUCGGUAUUGCCAGAAGCAUAUGGGUUGGAAAUUUACAGCCACGCAGAAGCUUAUGAAACCCCAGAAAUUUUGGGGGAUAUGCCGAAGAUCGAUCGUGACAAAACUUUUAACAGAAGAGGAUUUGAAACCAAUAAUCUGAGGCAGAGAUACUGUAUUUGCUGAAUAUGUUCAGUAAAAUACUGCUGAGGGGGUCCAUAUUGACUGCAAAAUUAAAUGUUGGUUCUGAGGACCCUUGUGUAAGACUGUGACUUGUAUAUAACUAUUCACACGACAUGUAAUAAAUAAAAUGUACAUGCUGUAACUGUUAAUGUAACUGUUUAAUUUAGGAAUUAAAAUGUAAUUCUUUUCAACAUCA